rnacentral:rRNA from 1 species
GACGAACGCUGGCGGCGUGCUUAACACAUGCAAGUCGAGCGGUAAGGCCCUUUCGGGGUACGACGAGCGGCGAACGGGUGAGUAACACGUGGGUGACCUGCCCUCAGCUCUGGGAUAAGCCUGGGAAACCGGGGUCUAAUACCGGAUAUGACUCCAUGACGCAUGUUGUGGGGUGGAAAGCCUUGUGCGGCUGAGGAUGGGCCCGCGGCCUAUCAGCUUGUUGGUGGGGGGA